AACGAACGCUGGCGGCAGGCCUAACACAUGCAAGUCGAGCGAAGCCUUCGGGCUUAGUGGCGGACGGGUGAGUAACGCGUGGGAACGUGCCCUUUGGUACGGAAUAGCCCCGGGAAACUGGGAGUAAUACCGUAUGUGGUCGAGAGGCGAAAGAUUUAUCGCCAAAGGAUCGGCCCGCGCUGGAUUAGGUAGUUGGUGGGGUAAUGGCCUACCAAGCCGACGAUCCAUAGCUGGUUUGAGAGGAUGAUCAGCCACACUGGGACUGAGACACGGCCCAGACUCCUACGGGGGGCAGCAGUGGGGAAUCUUAGACAAUGGGGGAAACCCUGAUCUAGCCAUGCCGCGUGAUCGAUGAAGGCCUUAGGGUUGUAAAGAUCUUUCAGUGGGGAAGAUAAUGACUGUACCCACAGAAGAAGCCCCGGCUAACUCCGUGCCAGCCGCCGCAGUAAUAC
rnacentral:rRNA from 1 species